rnacentral:rRNA from 1 species
CAGCAGCCGCGGGAAUACGUAGGUGGCAAGCGUUGUCCGGAAUUAUUGGGCGUAAAGGGCUCGCAGGCGGUUUCUUAAGUCUGAUGUGAAAGCCCCCGGCUCAACCGGGGAGGGCCAUUGGAAACUGGGAAACUUGAGUGCAGAAGAGGAGAGUGGAAUUCCACGUGUAGCGGUGAAAUGCGUAGAGAUGUGGAGGAACACCAGUGGCGAAGGCGACUCUCUGGUCUGUAACUGACGCUGAGGAGCGAAAGCGUGGGGAGCGAACAGGAUUAGAUACCCCCGUAGUCCCUGUCUCUUAUAC